rnacentral:rRNA from 1 species
AUACGUAGGGGGCUAGCGUUAUCCGGAAUUACUGGGCGUAAAGGGAGCGUAGGCGGAUUUUUAAGUGAGAUGUGAAAUACUCGGGCUUAACCUGAGUGCUGCAUUUCAAACUGGAAGUCUAGAGUGCAGGAGAGGAGAAGGGAAUUCCUAGUGUAGCGGUGAAAUGCGUAGAUAUUAGGAGGAACACCAGUAGCGAAGGCGGCUUUCUGGACUGUAACUGACACUGAGGCACGAAAGCGUGGGGAGC